rnacentral:rRNA from 1 species
AUGGCGGCCUUCAUGGUGCUCGGUGAACACCUCAUGGCGUACAGGUCGCGAUGCACAGAUUGCCAUGAACAGGGCCACGGUGAACAGGUUCAUGGCAAAGGGUACACCGGCGUACAGGUUUUGCAUCACACUCUUGGAGGAGACGAAGUGAUGCAACCAGAGCUCGCUGACGACACAACCCAUGACUCGCCUUCCCCUCCACGGUGUAAAGGUCCUUGGUGGAACCAAUAUCCGCAACGACAGGUCUAA